rnacentral:rRNA from 1 species
ACCAGACUCCUUACGGGAGGCAGCAGUGAGGAAUGUUGCGCAAUGGACGAAAGUCUGACGCAGCCAUGCCGCGUGCAGGAUGACGGUCCUAUGGAUUGUAAACUGCUUUUGUAUAGGAAGAAACUUAACUACGUGUAGUUGACUGACGGUACUAUAUGAAUAAGCAUCGGCUAACUCCGUGCCAGCAGCCGCGGUAAUACGGAGGAUGCAAGCGUUAUCCGGAUUUAUUGGGUUUAAAGGGUGCGUAGGCGGAAACUUAAGUCAGUGGUGAAACCCUGCAGCUUAACUGUAGCACUGCCAUUGAUACUGAGAUUCUUGAGUACGGUUGAGGUAGGCGGAAUGUGUAAUGUAGCGGUGAAAUGCUUAGAUAUUACACAGAACACCGAUUGCGUAGGCAGCUUACCAAGCCGCAACUGACGCUGAGGCACGAAAGCGUGGGGAUCGAACAGGAUUAGAUACCCUGGUAGUCCACGCUGUAAACGAUGAUCACUAGCUGUUGGCGAUAGAUAGUCAGCGGCAAAGCGAAAGCAUUAAGUGAUCCACCUGGGAGUACGGCCGGCAACGCUUGAAACUCCAAAGAAUUGACGGGGGCCCGCACAAGCGGAGGAACAUGUGGUUUAAUUCGAUGAUACGCGAAGGAACCUUUACCUGGGCUUAAAUGUAGAACGACGUUUCGGGAAACCGGGAAUUCCCUUCGGGGCGUUUUACAAGGUGCUGCAUGGUUGUCGUCAGCUCGUGCCGUGAGGUGUCGGGUUAAGUCCCAUAACGAGCGCAACCCUUAUCGUUAGUUGCCAGCGGGUAAUGCCGGGGACUCUAGCGAAACUGCCGGUGUAAACCGAGAGGAAGGUGGGGAUGACGUCAAAUCAGCACGGCCCUUAUGUCCAGGGCUACACACGUGUUACAAUGGUCGGUACAGAGGGCAGCUACUGGGUGACCAGAUGCAAAUCUCGAAAGCCGAUCCUAGUUCGGAUCGAAGUCUGCAACUCGACUUCGUGAAGCUGGAUUCGCUAGUAAUCGCGCAUCAGCCACGGCGCGGUGAAUACGUCCCGGGC